rnacentral:SRP_RNA from 1 species
CAUCGGCUUCUCCGCGACGACCAGUCGUGAAUCCCGUCAGGGCCGGAAGGCAGCAGCGGCAGCGGCGAUGUCGGGUGCCGGAUAAGAGCUGGUGCGG